AUUGAACGUUGGCGGCAUGCCUUACACAUGCAAGUCGAACGGUAACGGGCCUUCGGGUGCCGACGAGUGGCGAACGGGUGAGUAAUACAUCGGAACGUUCCCGAUCGUGGGGGAUAACGAGGCGAAAGCUUUGCUAAUACCGCAUACGAUCUACGGAUGAAAGCAGGGGACCGCAAGGCCUUGCGCGGACGGAGCGGCCGAUGGCAGAUUAGGUAGUUGGUGGGAUAAAAGCUUACCAAGCCGACGAUCUGUAGCUGGUCUGAGAGGAUGAUCAGCCACACUGGGACUGAGACACGGCCCAGACUCCUACGGGAGGCAGCAGUGGGGAAUUUUGGACAAUGGGCGCAAGCCUGAUCCAGCCAUGCCGCGUGCAGGAUGAAGGCCUUCGGGUUGUAAACUGCUUUUGUACGGAACGAAAAGCCUUCUUUUAAUACAGGAGGGUCAUGACGGUACCGUAAGAAUAAGCACCGGCUAACUACGUG
rnacentral:rRNA from 1 species